CAUUGGAAAGGUAACACUCUCAGGUUUUUGUUACGUUAAGUGUCAAGGUGAUGCUAAGCCUUACUGACACAGAGUUACAGAGGCUUGAAUGGAGCUUUUUUCCGUCCAAGUAAUACAUCUGUAAAAUGACUAAAAUACACUGCUGUAAACACAUCUAGUAACAUACAGACACACCCAGA